rnacentral:rRNA from 1 species
GCAUAUCAAUAAGCGGAGGAAAAGAAACCAACAGGGAUUGCCCUAGUAACGGCGAGUGAAGCGGCAAGAGCUCAAAUUUGAAAUCUGGCUCCUCCGGGGUCCGAGUUGUAAUUUGCAGAGGAUGCUUCGGGUGCGGUCCCCGUCUAAGUACCCUGGAAUGGGUCGUCAUAGAGGGUGAGAAUCCCGUCUGGGACGGGUGGCCGUGUCCGUGUGAAGCUCCUUCGACGAGUCGAGUUGUUUGGGAAUGCAGCUCUAAAUGGGUGGUAAAUUUCAUCUAAAGCUAAAUAUUGGCCGGAGACCGAUAGCGCACAAGUAGAGUGAUCGAAAGAUGAAAAGCACUUUGAAAAGAGAGUUAAACAGCACGUGAAAUUGUUGAAAGGGAAGCGCUUGCGACCAGACUCGCCCGCGGGGGUUCAGCCGGUACUCGUACCGGUGUACUCCCCCGUGGGCGGGCCAGCGUCGGUUUGGGCGGCCGGUCAAAGGCCUCCGGAAUGUAUCGCCCUUCGGGGCGUCUUAUAGCCGGGGGUGCAAUGCGGCCAGCCUGGACCGAGGAACGCGCUUCGGCUCGGACGCUGGCGUAAUGGUCGUAAGCGGC